AUUCAAAUUUAACUACACAAAGAUCACAAAUGACUACAACCUGUCCUGUCAGUUCUAUGAUGAAAAAGGAAGCAGAACCUGGAAACCAGACGGCUGUCUCACCAACAUAACCAGUGAUGAUGUUGUGGAGUGCCUCUGUGACCAUAUGACCCCUUUUGCUUUGCGUCUAGUGAGUACUAAGCCAUUCAUUCAGGUCAUUACUAAACGAGUAAGGUAGCAUUCUGUGCUGAUUCUGUUUUAAUUUACACUACCACAUUUCCUUUAUCUCUCCCAAACUCUAG